rnacentral:tRNA from 1 species
UCCCUGGUAGUAUAUCGGAUAGUACACCCGCCUGUCACUAGUCACUUGUUGCGGGCGCGGGAGAGCGGGGUUCGACUCCCCGCCAGGGAG